UACGAAGGACCCGAGCGUUAUCCGGAUUUAUUGGGUUUAAAGGGUGCGUAGGCGGAUUAGUAAGUCAGUGGUGAAAGCCCAUCGCUUAACGGUGGAAUUGCCAUUGAUACUGCUAGUCUUGAGUAUGGUUGAGGUGGGCGGAAUGUGUCAUGUAGCGGUGAAAUGCUUAGAUAUGACCCAGAACACCAAUUGCGAAGGCAGCUCGCUAAGCCAUAACUGACGCUGAUGCACGAAAGCGUGGGUAGCAAACAGG
rnacentral:rRNA from 1 species